rnacentral:misc_RNA from 1 species
CCGACCACAUGUAGUUCUAGACGGAACCGAGCUCUCUGCUACCUACUGCCCUGCCUUGCCGCUACCUCGCAACGCAAUCGGAGCACUACCACUGAUCGGAACCGGAAAUCUCCCGACUGAGCUGGAGAACGCCACGCAGAGCACGGCCAGCGCCAGCGCCGGGAUCUUCCCUGCGACGAGGCCGGCAAGGAUGAUCGGCACCAACAGGGGUAGCGGCAAUGCGCGUCCGCGUCGCGGCGGCGGCGGCGUGGGCUCGGCGGUAGCGGCAACUGCGGCGGCGUCCGCGUUGAGUCUCCCCGGCGUCUCCGGGUGCUCGUGCUUGCAUGCGUCGCCGCCAUGCCGGGAAUUCGUGCUGCGGAGCGUCUUGCCGCUCCGCAACUUGUUGGCGAGUAGCUUCCGCAGCGACCUCCUGCUCUGUUUCAGCUUCGGAUUGUUAUUCGCCGACGGCUUGCUUGUGUCCGCGGACCAGAGCGAGGCGGCGUCGUUGCCUACGUUGUCGGGCUCGGACUCGCACCCGGCGCGGCGCGACUUCGGCGAGUCCGCCACCUCCCGGAUCGGCGAGACGCGCCCGCGCAAAUGCACCUCAGCAUUCGUCUCCGGCCGCCAUCGAUUGCUUCGGACGGACUCAAUCCAGGACAGCGCCACCGAUGCCAGCGUGGCCGCGGCCACCAUCUGCUUGCUCCAGCAGAUCACCACCAGCGCCAGCGCCACGGCGGCGCCGCAGACCGCGAGGAGCCCCGGCCGGACGCUGAAGACCGCGCCUAUGCCUGGGCGCACCGGCGCCGGUGCCGCCGCGUCGCGAGCCACCGAAAGCUCGCGCAUUUGCUGGGGCUCCGCGGCAGCGGCAGCAGCGCGGCGCCUCUUCCUGGUGUUCCUGAUGCGGCCGUGGUUCUUGACGACGAUGUCCGCGAGGGAGGUCGGGAAGCCGGUCUGGACCGAGAGAGGCCCCGGCGGGCGCAGCGACGCGAGGAGGCGGCGCAGGCGGCCUGCGCCGCCGCCGGAUGGGCGCUUCAGCGAGAUCGUUGGCAUCGCCAGCGGCUGCCGACGCCGGCGAUCAUCGGAGACGUGGCGUCACGCGGCCAGGCUUUGCUCGUCCGCGUUGCUGGCGGAAGCGAAGAAGGAACUCGGUUUGCUGUUUGCAUUGGGGUAUUCGCCUUGUUUUAAAGGUGGUUGAUUCUGCUUGGAGUUUGUGAGAAGCAGAGCCAGCUCGGGUGAAGAAACCAAGGAAACUGAUCGAGAGGUGUGGCCGGCCGUCGCCGGCCAAGGCCUGCGCUCUGCGCGCGAAUGCGCUGCCGAAUGCGCGCUCCUUUCUUCCUCGUCAUGAUUUCUCGCCUUCACGCCAACGCGUCCAAUCCCGGCUCGCACGCACUGCUACACGCCCAAACUACAGCAUGUCCGCUCCUCCUUCCUCGCCCAAACUCGCCCACACGCCGCCGAAUGCGCGCUCCUUCCUUUCGCAGUGAUUUCUCGCCUCCACGCCACCGCGCUCAAUCCCGCUCGCCGCAGCGGCCCGUGUGUCAGCCCCACGACGCUAGGCUGGGAGCGAAGACAAUCGUCGCUGAGCAAAACACGGGAACGUCCGUCUAAGUAGGUCGGAGUGAGUAAUUCGGCUGUCUAGGUGCGCCGUAUUUGGUGGUGAGACUGAUGUUACAAGUAUUAGAC